UUUGUGUCCUUACAAAGGGAUGGGUUUUUUCUCUCUGUAUGUAUUCAUUUUCGUCUGCUCACUUCAUUGCCUUGUUUUUGUCGAUUCACUCUCGGUCUUGGAGAAAUUUGUGGAGAAUCUAUCCAUGUUCCUUUUUUUUUGGCUCUAUAUUUUGAUCGAAGAUCUACCCUCUGAAAAUUAGUUUCUUUCUAUAUAUAGGUGUAUAGUGUUAGUCUUUCACAUCUUAGAUUCGAAGAUUUAUGGUUUCGACGUGUUUGUGAUUAGGCUUGAGGAUGUAAGGUUUUGAUCUUUUGGGGUUUCAUCUUUUUUCAAAGGUGAGUUAUUACUGGUUUAUUGUACAUGGUUGUUGUUUUAUGUUGGGUUAUUUUACGUUUGUGCAGAAUCUAAUAUCUCUUAUAUUUUUCAAAAUCGUGACUUUUUUUGUGAGGUGAUCUGAAGGUGCAUCUUUAAGCAUGUGGAGUUUUUCUUCUUCUCGUCUUGGAUUUUGGAAAUGCAAGGACUCUAUGGAAGCAAAAAUUCCGGAAGAUGAACAAGUCAAAAGUAUAUGGUGGGAUGUUGAAGGCAAAUGGUGGUAUUUGGGGAAAGUUAAAAAUUGCACAAAUCAAUUCAAAAUGUAUGUCAGCAUGUGGGACCCCAUGUUUGUAGAAAGAAUGCAUUUUUUUGUCUAGUGAAUGACAUCUUUUUUUUUUUA